rnacentral:rRNA from 1 species
AUUGAACGCUGGCGGCAUGCCUUACACAUGCAAGUCGAACGGUAACGCGGGGCAACCUGGCGACGAGUGGCGAACGGGUGAGUAAUGUAUCGGAACGUGCCCAGUUGUGGGGGAUAACUGCUCGAAAGAGCAGCUAAUACCGCAUACGACCUGAGGGUGAAAGCGGGGGAUCGCAAGAUCUCGUGCAAUUGGAGCGGCCGAUAUCAGAUUAGGUAGUUGGUGGGGUAAAGGCCCACCAAGCCAACGAUCUGUAGCUGGUCUGAGAGGACGACCAGCCACACUGGGACUGAGACACGGCCCAGACUCCUACGGGAGGCAGCAGUGGGGAAUUUUGGACAAUGGACGCAAGUCUGAUCCAGCUAUGCCGCGUGCGGGAAGAAGGCCUUCGGGUUGUAAACCGCUUUUGUCAGGGAAGAAAAGGGCGACUCUAAUACAGUUGCCUCAUGACGGUACCUGAAGAAUAAGCACCGGCUAACUACGUGCCAGCAGCCGCCGUAAUAC